UACGAAGGGGGCUAGCGUUGCUCGGAAUCACUGGGCGUAAAGGGUGCGUAGGCGGGUUUUAAGUCAGGGGUGAAAUCCUGGAGCUCAACUCCAGAACUGCCUUUGAUACUGAAGAUCUUGAGUCCGGGAGAGGUGAGUGGAACUGCGAGUGUAGAGGUGAAAUUCGUAGAUAUUCGCAAGAACACCAGUGGCGAAGGCGGCUCACUGGCCUGGUACUGACGCUGAGGCACGAAAGCGUGGGGAGCAAACAGG
rnacentral:rRNA from 1 species